CUAAUACAUGCAAGUCGAGCGAACAGAUGAGAAGCUUGCUUCUCUGAUGUUAGCGGCGGACGGGUGAGUAACACGUGGGUAACCUACCUAUAAGACUGGGAUAACUCCGGGAAACCGGGGCUAAUACCGGAUAAUAUUUUGAACCGCAUGGUUCAAUAGUGAAAGACGGUUUCGGCUGUCACUUAUAGAUGGACCCGCGCCGUAUUAGCUAGUUGGUAAGGUAACGGCUUACCAAGGCGACGAUACGUAGCCGACCUGAGAGGGUGAUCGGCCACACUGGAACUGAGACACGGUCCAGACUCCUACGGGAGGCAGCAGUAGGGAAUCUUCCGCAAUGGGCGAAAGCCUGACGGAGCAACGCCGCGUGAGUGAUGAAGGUCUUCGGAUCGUAAAACUCUGUUGUUAGGGAAGAACAAAUUUGUUAGUAACUGAACAAGUCUUGACGGUACCUAACCAGAAAGCCACGGCUAACUACGUGCCAGCAGCCGCGGUAAUACGUAGGUGGCAAGCGUUAUCCGGAAUUAUUGGGCGUAAAGCGCGCGUAGGCGGUUUCUUAAGUCUGAUGUGAAAGCCCACGGCUCAACCGUGGAGGGUCAUUGGAAACUGGGAAACUUGAGUGCAGAAGAGGAGAGUGGAAUUCCAUGUGUAGCGGUGAAAUGCGCAGAGAUAUGGAGGAACACCAGUGGCGAAGGCGGCUCUCUGGUCUGUAACUGACGCUGAUGUGCGAAAGCGUGGGGAUCAAACAGGAUUAGAUACC
rnacentral:rRNA from 2 species